UUAUUUUUAUCUUUUUUUUCAAGUCUGGCUGGUGUCACAUCCUGAUUGUAUCACUGAAAUUGUAGCCGUCUUUGUUUUCUCCAUGUUAUAUUUCCAGCUUUUAAAGCUAUCAUGUGAAUCAGUCCUAUUAUUCAGUAUUAUUGUUAUUCAGUCUGAACAUAAGUGGGUCUCUCGAAAUUGUGACCUUGACUAGGUUGUCUCAGUUGAUCACAGACAAUUUCUCUUCCUUCGCCCAGGAUGCAGAGAUUGAGCGGAGGUGUCAGAGCUGCUCAGGACAGCUGGCCUCUGUCACCUCAAGCUUCAGCACACUGCCCAGAGGUUCAGGUACGACACCACGCUGCAGUACAACAGCAAGCUACAGGAGCCAGUGGUCAUCCCCAGCGGCUUGACCACUCAAGCCCACUGCAGCGGUGGUGUCCAGCUUCCCCGUGCUCUGGACUGGAGAGCAGAGCCCACAGUGUUGUUAGAGGGGCUCAGUGAAGAAGAGCUCCUGGCUGCAGCCCUGCAGAUGAGCUUACAGUCAGGACCUUCCACAGCCCCUCAGGACAAGUAGAAAGAAUCACCAGGUCAUGACAUCAGUGACGUUUUUAACAUCGCGGAGCAGACGUGGCUCCAGUGUAAUAACCAGAGGGUGAGGAGGACCGACGAGCUGUCUGUGCUGAAGGCUGGAGAGAGGAAUGCGUAUAUUCUCUUCUACACACACAGGUGUGUGAGGUGAACAGGAGGGAGAUCCACACCUGGGACUUGGGACUUGGGACUUGGGACUUGGGACUGGGACUGGGACUUAUAAAAGUGCACUGAAGUGCCUGUUUCCUCUUUAACCCAAACUUUGUGCUGUUCAUUUUUUAUCCAACCAGUAACAUUAACGUAUGCAAAUAUCAGAAAUAACUUUUUUAUUACUUUUUCUGCAAUGAACAUCAAUAACUUCUGAAAAGACCCCUUAAGAGUGUUUUCAUUAAUAUACCCUUACAUUGAACUAUAUGAAAUUACACAUUUAACCCACUGUAUCCCUUGUACUCAAUAUCCCUCCUCCCCCUGAGUACCAGCAGUGUGGAGACCUUCUCAAUA